GAUGAACGCUAGCGGCAGGCUUAACACAUGCAAGUCGAGGGGCAGCACAGGUAGCAAUACUGGGUGGCGACCGGCAAACGGGUGCGGAACACGUACACAAUCUGCCUUUAUCUGGGGAAUAGCCCGAAGAAAUUCGGAUUAAUACCACAUAACAUAUUUGGGUGGCAUCAUUUGAAUAUUAAAACUACGGUGGAUAAAGAUGAGUGUGCGUCCCAUUAGCGAGUUGGCAGGGUAACGGCCUACCAAGGCGACGAGGGGUAGCUGGUGUGAGACCACGACCAGCCACACGAGCACUGAGACACGGGCCCGACUCCUACGGGAGGCAGCAGUGAGGAAUAUUGGUCAAUGGACGCAAGUCUGAACCAGCCAUGCCGCGUGAAGGAUGAAGGCCUUCUGGGUUGUAAACUUCUUUUAUUGGGGAAGAAAAUUACGGUUUCUACUGUAACCGACGGUACCCAAGGAAUCAGCACCGGCUAACUCCGUGCCAGCCGCCGCCGUAACAC
rnacentral:rRNA from 1 species